AAACUUCUCUUCCUCUUUUUUCUCGUUCUCUUGUCUAUAAGCUGGAAGUUUAGAAGAAGAAAAGAGAAAAGCAAGCUAGAAGCUUAGGAAAAUGAAGUACUCUAGAUUCAUCUCCUUGUUGCUCCUCAUCUCUUUCCUCACCUUGAUCUUGGUAUCAAAAUCGUCUGUCAAUGCAGAGACCGAUGAACAAUAUUGGAAGAAGAGGGAAGAAGAAGCUGAAAUUGUUGCGAGAGCAUCUUAUGUUCCUGACCCCUUUUCUGUAACCAAUUCUUUCAACGCAGCCGUUCACAAACAGGAUGCCCAUAAAAAGAGCAAGGGGGAUUAAAUGUAAGUAUAGUACUUACAUUUUUAGUACCAUACUAAGCAAUGGAGGAUUCACUAGCAUCAUACAUGCUAUUUGACAAUUGUUACUUGCGUUGUUUUGAGAAAUAACACCAAACAAAGUGAUGGUCUUUAUUUACUUAUUAUUGAAAAGGUGUAACAUCGUAUGACCGUCAUGUACUUUCUCUAGUCAUUUUUAACCGAUGGUGUUCGGGUUUGUAUAUGGCUUGUUAUCCAAAUAUGUUCGUCUGUGUUUCUUUGUUAUCGUGUAUUAAAUAAUAACAUUUAUUUAUGUGUUUUUU